AGUGAACGCUGGCGGCAGGCCUAACACAUGCAAGUCGAACGGCAGCACAGCAGUAGCAAUACUGUGGGUGGCGAGUGGCGGACGGGUGAGGAAUACAUCGGAAUCUACCUUGUCGUGGGGGAUAACGUAGGGAAACUUACGCUAAUACCGCAUACGAACUACGGUUGAAAGCGGCGGACCGCAAGGCGUCGCGCGAUUGG
rnacentral:rRNA from 1 species